rnacentral:rRNA from 1 species
AGCUCCAAUAGCGUAUAUUAAAGUUGUUGCAGUUAAAAAGCUCGUAGUUGGAUUUCAAGGGAAGCAGUAUGGAUUCAUGCUGCCCCCUACCAGUCUUUGACUGUUACUUUGAGAAAAUUAGAGUGUUUCAAGCAGGCGUGAUGCCUUGGAUACUCCAGCAUGGAAUAAUAAGAUAGGACUCAGGUUCUAUUU